CAUGUGGAAGUAAUCGAGGAACGCUUCCAGUCGACGACAGUUUAUGACGUUGAGCUCUAUUUUUUGGGUCCAUAUCAAUACUUUCUGAUGAAUUGCACGGACGUUUGCCAUUGCAAAUCACUUAUUUCUCAAGCCAAAAAGAAAGAGGACCCGCUAACGCCACAAUAGUAGCAGGCAUGUCAGAGUCUGGUCACACGCGGUUUUGUGCAAUUAACGUUAGCUAGCUACUGUGUUUUCCUUUCGUGAACUGCUCUGUCUUGCCAGACAUAUUUAGUAACGUUAAUGUAUUAUUGCAGAAAUGUAACAGGAGUCGACUGUAGUUGCUAGCAAACGUUACAUAAUACCAGUCAUACCAAAUAAUUGAAGAGGAGAGAGAGGACUUAAACGUUACAUGUUGGGCAUUAGCUACAAGGUAGCGUUGCAACUUGGCAAUAAUACUUAACGUUACCUAGCUUAGCUUUACUUGCUAGCGUACUAGUGUGGGUUCGCUACUUUGACAGCUCUCAUUACUCUUAACACUUGCAAUAUUAGCUACUAAUGUUACUACAGCGAACACCUUAAAGUUAGUUAGCUCGCUGAAUUAUCUGGUUGGCAGUGCCGUUGAGCAUUCAACGGGUAACGAACCUAGCCAUCUUAUUUUAAGUUAUUUGUACGAACAUAUUUGCCCUAUUUUGCCACAAUGUUCAAGCUUUGUCUUCAGAUCGCUCUACGACCCACCAUCCCAACAAGAGCAGUGCUGGAAAGUGUCACGGUCAGAAAGGUUUUGAAGGUGUCCCACUUGCAAAGUUGUUGGAUGGGAACUCUCGGACGCAACGAGCCGCGGGAACCCCUAAACUCUCCGAAAAGAGCGAAAGAAUUCAUCUACAGCCUUCACCCCAAAGAAAGAAAAUGCUUGCUGAAAGAACUGCAGAGCUUUGAAUCCAUAGCUAUAGCUCAAGAGACUCAAGAGGCUUCACCGCUUACUCGUGCUCAGAUCAAAUACGUGCUUCUACACAAUGCGAUCCCCUUUAUUGGUUUUGGCUUCCUGGACAAUGCCAUCAUGAUUGCAGCAGUAAGUGGGAACCCAGAUUGAGUUGUCUAUAGGUGUCACCUUUGGAUUAUCUACCAUGGCAGCUGCAGCUCUUGGGAACCUAGUGUCAGACCUGGCUGGACUUGGUCUUGCCGGAUACGUGGAGGUCCUAGCCUCCAGGCUAGGGAUGCAGGUUCCUGACCUCACACCCAAGCAGGCGGACAUGUGGCAGACCAGGGUUAGCUCCCACAUGGGAAAAGGCAUUGGAGUCACAAUCGGAUGCAUUCUCGGAAUGUUCCCCCUGUUAUUCCUAGGGGAUGAUGAGGAUGAGAGCAAGAAAAAAGAAGCACACACCAACACCACAGACUCUUAACAGCAUGUGAACCAGCUUUCUGGUCUCAGGGUCAAUUGCAAGCUGCAUCAUCAGCAUGAUUUUAAAUGAAUCUCUAACUCUGGAAAACCUCUCUUCUCUAUUUCAUAAUAUAAUACAUGUAAUUUAUCCAAAGCGAUAUAGUCAUGGGUGCACACAUUUUACUGUUGGGUGGUCCCGGUAAUCGAACCCACUGUGCUGGCGUUGCAAGUGCCAUGCUCUACCAACUGAGCUACCAAAUAACCUUCCAAAAAGGUUAUUUGCAUUUGCAUUUGAUGGCAAGUUAUUUUCAUAGGAUGGAUUUUGUAGAUGAAUUUGCCUAGGAGUUGAAAAUGAGUUUGAGAUGACUUUAAACCAAUGUUUUAAGAUUGUGAAACAAAGGAACACGUGUGAACUGCUACCUCGAUGGCAUUUUAUUUUUUGGGAUUUGAAACGGCAAGAGUUGAACUAGCUUGUGCAAUAUAUCUUUUUUGUUGAGGAAUUUCUGUACAGUAUAUUAUGCAUUGAACUUUAUUGAUUUAGUUUGUCAACAAGGAAAAAGCAAUUACUCUGAUUAUUAGCACUACCAAUCCUGUUUUUCAGACACAUAAUUACAAACAUACCUCUACUACACGCACACUAAAUUGAGUGGGUGUAAUGCCUUGGGUUCCUAGCAUGUCAGGCUUAAGUUGCCUAUCUUUUCUAACUGCUGAUCUAUGUCUCUUAGCUUUCACAUUUAUUUUUAGCAAAGCCAAUUUUCACAGUCCAUACCAUAGAAGUGCCUCACUUUAUUUUCUUCACAUCACUCUAACCAAAUGUAUUUUUAUGACCUUUUUAAAAACCAGCACGUAGGAGAUUUAAUUUUGUGAAGUAUUAAAUUUCAUGUUUGAAAGAACGUCAUUGUUAAUAUGCUUGAUUUGAAAGAAAUUAAGGAAACGAAGUAAGCUGAACAACAGAGUAAAACUGCGCACUCACUGUUUGUUGAAAUGCAAUUACAGCACCUACUAUUCCAUUGCCAUUAUGAUUGACUUUUUGUAGGAUAGUUACUGUUUGUUCACUGAUAGACAACCAUUUGCUUAUGGUGGCCUAAUCAAACUAGUCAUUUAUUGUGUGAAAGGAUCUUCUUUGUGUUUUCUGUCUAUGAAUAUUGGUUUUCGUUUUUCCGUUUGCCUUUUCGUAUUACAGUAAAUGCAGUACUUAAACUGGAAUGCCCCUCACCAUGCUGCUGUAUUUCCUCAUGAACUGUAGAGAAUGUUCAUAAUGACCCUUAUUUAAACUAUUACUGCCAAAUGCAGUUUUUUUUUGGUCACCAAAGUACUUGGCUGUAAAUAAAAAAACUGCAUAUUUCAGCACAACCAGACUGAUAAGAAAACGGGCAUCAAGGUGUAACAUAAAUGCUUUGAUGGGUUUUGUUUUAAAGCAAUGGAAAUGUUUUGUUCUGGGUGACUAGUAUUUCUGCAGUUUGAUCAUGGUCUCACUCCAUCCUUUUCUUCAGCGCUAAUAGAAGCCAUGCACUUGUUCCUCACCACCUCUGCCCUCUGGUGGACGGAGACAUUUUGUAUCUGCCCCGACUCGUUCUCCCUACUGCUUAUCCUCCUGGCGUCCUCUGGUCUUGCUUGUUGCACCACUGUUCUGGGCUUGCUGGAGACUCCUGGUCACAUGUGCCCUUCAGCUGUUUUAGGCUCUACGGCUCCAGAGACCCUUGAUCCACACGCUCUGUCCUCUUCUAUUUGGUGUUCGUCUAACUCCACUCCAUUGUUCUCCUCUAUAGCCUCGGAAAUCCCAGACAUAUGUUUGAACAUGUUAAUGUGGAAGGUAAGCCAUCUUGCAUCUCUAGGAUGUAUUUGGCUCUUGCCAAAACUCCUGCAAUCUUCAUGGGAUCUCCAUCUCUUCUGUCUUUCACCUGAACACUUGUUCUCUAUCCCAAACAUGUACAUCAAGUUUCAAUCAAAGUUUGGUGUUCUGUUCUCCAGUUUGAUUCCUGUGGUAUGGUUCUCUGUGUUAGUCUGUUUUGCCAUCUGUAUCUGAACCUCAUUCCCUGUCAUUGCUUUCCAACUCUUCUCUCCCUUCUUGGCUAUUGGUCCACUAUGAUAGUGGUGUCCUCUCACCAUGAUAUCAAAGCACACCUCGUCUUUCUUUUUUCUCUUUGUCACCAUUAAUGAAAUGAAAGUCUGGCAUGGUAAUAAGAACUAUUCAUUUAAACAAACAUGGACUUAUCUAAUGCUCAUCCCCACUCCCAUGUAAACGACAGGCGCAUAAAAUGUAUCUAUGCUGCCAUGUUUACAUACUUAUGCCAACAAAAAUAGAGAAAAUACUGUUUGAUCGCUCUUGUAUUUUGCAAUGAUUUAAUAAACCGAUUGGAACUAUUUCA